AAGGGGAGGUUCCCUGCUCAAGCUCUCUUCUCUUGUCUGCUGCCAUGUGAGACGUGCCUUUGACCUUCUGCCAUGAUUGUGAGGCCUCCCCAGCCACGUGAAACUAUGUUUUAGGUAGAAGUAGAAAGAGGAAAGUGUUAGAGUUUCUUCCAAAGAAUAUGGGAAGAUGUUCUGAUUGCGUCGUUUAGAACAUCCAGGGUCUAGAGUUGCAGUUUUUCUGGGUUAAGGCACUCAGAACAUUUUAUCUAUCAAAGCCACUUGGGACUGGUAGGUCCUGAUAGCAUAGAUGCAGGAUUCCUUAAUGCCCUUUGCAACUCCAUCCCUGUAAAUUCAACGAGCCUCCUUCUGGCUUGGAGAUGAAAGGAAGAUGAAUAAGAUGAUUCUUACUAGAUCUGGGAUCCCAAAGCUCUGGCUUUCGGAAAAGUGAAAUAUUAUUUGUUCCAGAGGGCACAUAACAUGUUCCUGGCACAUUGGAGGGCUAUUCCUCAUAAGCUGGAGCUCAGCGCUUGCCCUUAAAAUGCACUUCACCCAGCUCACCGUCUCAUGUAGGCCAAAGCUGGAAGAACCUUA
rnacentral:lncRNA from 1 species